UUAAUUGAAGCCAAAAAGAGGCUUAUCACUGUUAAUGAUAGAACUGAGAUUUAAACUCCAAUUAAA
rnacentral:tRNA from 1 species